rnacentral:ncRNA from 1 species
AUAGCGAAAGGGCAAAGCCGCUGAAAGGCGGUGACGCAAAGCUACGGGUCUACAGCCGAAAGGUCAUGAUAGCCGAGUUGCCGAC